rnacentral:tRNA from 1 species
GCUCGGGUGGUGAAAUGGUAUACACGCAACCUUGAGGUGGUUGUGAGAGAAAUCUCAUGAGGGUUCAAAUCCCUUCCCGAGCACCA